GAGUUUGAUCCUGGCUCAGGACGAACGCUGGCGGCGUGCCUAAUACAUGCAAGUCGAACGCACGAAGUUGAAGAGCUUGCUCUUUAACCAAGUGAGUGGCGGACGGGUGAGUAACACGUGGGUAACCUGCCCAUUAGAGGGGGAUAACAUUCGGAAACGGAUGCUAAUACCGCAUAGUUUCAGGAAUCGCAUGAUUCUUGAAGGAAAGGUGGCUCCGGCAACCACUAAUGGAUGGACCCGCGGCGUAUUAGCUAGUUGGUGAGGUAAUGGCUCACCAAGGCAAUGAUACGUAGCCGACCUGAGAGGGUGAUCGGCCACACUGGGACUGAGACACGGCCCAGACUCCUACGGGAGGCAGCAGUAGGGAAUCUUCCGCAAUGGACGAAAGUCUGACGGAGCAACGCCGCGUGAGUGAAGAAGGUUUUCGGAUCGUAAAACUCUGUUGUUAAAGAAGAACAAGGAUGAGAGUAACUGCUCAUCCCCUGACGGUAUUUAACCAGAAAGCCACGGCUAACUACGUGCCAGCAGCCGCGGUAAUACGUAGGUGGCAAGCGUUGUCCGGAUUUAUUGGGCGUAAAGCGAGCGCAGGCGGUUCUUUAGGUCUGAUGUGAAAGCCCCCGGCUCAACCGGGGAGGGUCAUUGGAAACUGGAGAACUUGAGUGCAGAAGAGGAGAGUGGAAUUCCACGUGUAGCGGUGAAAUGCGUAGAUAUGUGGAGGAACACCAGUGGCGAAGGCGACUCUCUGGUCUGUAACUGACGCUGAGGCUCGAAAGCGUGGGGAGCAAACAGGAUUAGAUAC
rnacentral:rRNA from 1 species